rnacentral:rRNA from 1 species
AACGAACGCUGGCGGCGUGGAUAAGACAUGCAAGUCGAACGGAUUACUUUCUGUAGCAAUACAGGGAGUAGUCAGUGGCGCAAGGGUGCGUAACACGUGGGCAACCUGCCCGGAAGUGGGGGACAGCUCGCCGAAAGGCCAAUUAAUACCGCAUGUGACUACCGGUGGAAUCACCGGGACGUCAAAGUCGGGGCAACCUGACGCUUCUGGAUGGGCCCGCGGCCGAUCAGCUAGUUGGUGAGGUAACGGCUCACCAAGGGGAUGACGGGUCGGUGGUCUGAGAGGACGAACAGCCACACUGGAACUGAGACACGGGCCAGACACCUACGGGUGGCAGCAGUCGAGAAUUUUUCUCAAUGGGGGAAACCCUGAAGGAGCGACGCCGCGUGGAGGAUGAAGGUCUUCGGAUUGUAAACUCCUGUCAUUGGUGAACAAGACCCACGCAGUAACUGGUGUUGGGUUUGAUAGUAGCCGAAGAGGAAGAGACGGCUAACUCUGUGCCAGCAGCCGCAGUAACAC